AAAAUAGCAUAAGGAAUAUUAUGCUAGGGCUUAUACCAGCCAUUAGUUCUGAUUACUGGGGAGCUUUUGAGGAGCAAAAUGGCAGUGAUGAUUGGAAUCGCUUUCAGUGUUUCUUGGCUUUGUAGCCUGCUAAUUGGCGGGAUAACCUGUUCUACAUCAAGUGAUGGGUAUCUUGCACCAGGUUCUGAUGCAGCAAGGCUCUAUACAGGCCCACUUAGGUCAAAAGGAUAUGGUAAUUACAACUCUCCUACAGCUCAAUUGCAAGCGCAGCUGACCGAAGAGCAACAGAAACAUCUGGAAGCCAUCCUGCAAAAUCAACUGGCGCCCAUGCCCCAGGCACCUCAGAAAAUGUGGUAUCCAACUCAAAUGCCCCAGCAGGAAAAGCAACCGGCCGCCAUGACCCAACAGCAGACGCUACCGGCCAGUUAUCCUAAGCAGCCUCAAGCAGUGUGGUAUCAAGUUCAAAUUCCUCAGCAGCAAAAGCAACCAGCUACUGGUCCUCAGCAGCAGACGGAACUGACCACCCUGCCCCAGAAGCAACCGGCUGCAAUGCCCAUACCGCAUAAACAACCAACAGCUAUGCCCCAGAAAGCAUGGAGUCAAGCUCAAAUGCAGCAAAGCAACCGGCCACCAUGCACCAGCAAGUGUGGCAUCCAGCUAAGCCCCAGAAGCAAAAGCAACUGGCUACUGAACCUCGGCAGCAGAAGGAACCGCCUCCAUAACCCAGCAACCUCAGCAAGUGUUGCAUCCAGCUAAGCCCCAGAAGCAACUGGCCGCUGAUCCUCAGGAGCAGAUUGAACUGACCGCCAUGCCCCAGCAACCUCAGCAAGUGUGGUAUCCAGCUCAAAUGCUGCUGAAGCAACUGACUGCCAUGCCCCAGCAAGUGUGGUAUCCAGCUAAGCCCCAGAAGCAACUGGCCGCUGAUCCUCAGGAGCAGAUUGAACUGACCGCCAUGCCCCAGCAACCUCAGCAAGUGUGGUAUCCAGCUCAAAUGCCCCAGAAGCAACCAGUCCCUAUGCGUCAACUGCAGAAGGAACUGACCGCCAUCCCACCACAACUGUGGCAAUCCGCUCAAAUGCACCAGCAGCGUAAGCAACCGGCUGCCAUGCUUCAGCAAGUGUGGCAUCGGGCAC